AUGGCUAUUAUCCUGUUCUUGUUUGCCUUGGUGACUAUUCCAAGACGGGCCUUUUCAGAUGUUCAGCUGGUAUCAUCUGGGCCAGGAACACUGAGACCUGGACAGAACCUCCAUCUGGUCUGCAAAGUGACAGGUGUCUCCAUCUCUAGUAGCAGCAAUGCUUGGAACUGGAUCCGUCAGCCUCCUGGGAAAGGUCUGGAAUGGGUUGGAGGAAUAUACCCAUAUGCUGGGGACAAAUACUACGCCCCUUCUCUCCAGAGCCGUGUCACCAUUUCUGCGGACUCCUCCAAGAGCCAGUUCUCCCUCCAGCUGGACUCCGUGAUAGCUGCCGACUCUGCAGUUUAUUUCUGUGCCCGUUACUCACAGUGAAACAAAGUCUAUUGGGAACCUGGACAGAACCUCCAUCUGGUCUGCAAAGUGACAGGUGUCUCCAUCUCUAGUAGCAGCUAUGGUUGGCACUGGAUCCGUCAGGCACCUGGGAAAGGUCUGGAAUGGGUUGGAUGGAUAUACCCAUAUGAUGGGAGCAAAUCCUAUGCCUCUUCUCUCCAGAGUCGUGCCACCAUUUCUGCAGACACCUCCAAGAACCAGUUCUCCCUCCAGCUGAACUCCCUGACAGCCACCGACUCUGCAGUUUAUUUCUGUGCCCGACAUGCACAGUGA